rnacentral:rRNA from 1 species
UAGGGAAUAUUGGACAAUGGGGGAAACCCUGAUCCAGCAAUGCAGCGUGAGUGACGAAGGCCUUAGGGUUGUAAAACUCUUUCAUCGGUGAGGAUAAUGACAGUAGCCGAAGAAGAAGGACCGGCUAAUUCC